rnacentral:rRNA from 1 species
CGGCAUGCCUUACACAUGCAAGUCGAACGGCAGCACGGGGGCAACCCUGGUGGCGAGUGGCGAACGGGUGAGUAAUACAUCGGAACGUGCCCAGUAGUGGGGGAUAGCCCGGCGAAAGCCGGAUUAAUACCGCAUACGACCUACGGGUGAAAGCGGGGGAUCGCAAGACCUCGCGCUAUUGGAGCGGCCGAUGUCAGAUUAGGUUGUUGGUGAGGUAAAAGCUCACCAAGCCGACGAUCUGUAGCUGGUCUGAGAGGACGACCAGCCACACUGGGACUGAGACACGGCCCAGACUCCUACGGGAGGCAGCAGUGGGGAAUUUUGGACAAUGGGGGCAACCCUGAUCCAGCCAUGCCGCGUGCGGGAAGAAGGCCUUCGGGUUGUAAACCGCUUUUGUCAGGGAAGAAAUCUUUUGGACUAAUACCCCAGAGGGAUGACGGUACCUGAAGAAUAAGCACCGGCUAACUACGUGCCAGCAGCCGCGGUAAUACGUAGGGUGCAAGCGUUAAUCGGAAUUACUGGGCGUAAAGCGUGCGCAGGCGGUUGUGCAAGACAGGUGUGAAAUCCCCGGGCUUAACCUGGGAACUGCACUUGUGACUGCACAGCUGGAGUACGGCAGA